UCUCUCAUACAAGGAAUUACUGUAUAACUGUUCAUUCAAUGACUGUUGAGCACCCAGAGUCAUUCCCUGCAUAUACGAAAUAUUUCAAGAAUACUAGCAGGGGUUGUCUGUAUAUGUACAGACAUUCUUAGAGAUGAUUUAAAUCCAAGCACUUUGAGUUCCUUGAGUAACCCUUGAGGAACUCUGGCCUACUGAGUACAUUUGCAGAAUGUUCUAAGCUGACCGGACUUCAGCUGUGCUUUAUCUGUUUUCCUGACCUCCUUAUCUUUCACCCCAACUUCCCCUGCUCCUACUUUUGGAAUGGACCCAGAAGAUAGCAAGUGGGACAGGACAGUGGGAAUCACAGGAGAGCACAGAAGCCAACCCCAGGACACAGCCGCAGAGGUGGCCUCCACCGCAGACGUCAUUGGCUUUGGUUGCCUUGAAAAUGUCGCAUGCAGUCUGGAGGGUCAGAAGAAUGAGGAAGGUGACGUGGCCACUGUAUUUCCCAACAGGGAGGUCUUGGUGGAAUUACAAGCAGCCAUUUCAUCAUAGAAUUGGAGAGUGAGAGUCUGGAUUUCAAGAGGGUUUUCUCGACAAAAUGCCUGCAGCACAGAUAUGAGUCUCCUCAUUUCACCCGUGAGAAAACUGAGCACAGAAAGCCUAAGCUUCCUCCAUGCUGACGUCCUUACCAUCCCCAACGCUCUGCUCAUCCCUGACUCCAGGCGUCCACACACCCUUCUUAAUCACCUUCGUCCAGCUGAAGUACAGCCGUGCUGUUCGGGUGAUUUCUGCUCUGUGAUGCCAAGAUGUUUCAGAACAAUGUUAUGAUGCCUGGUCACACCUACUACCACUGAGACAAGCCCAGAAGUUAAAUUAUGAAGCAAACGCAUUAACAGUGUGUAAAUGCAGUGUAAGCGCAACUUAACCACAGCAUGAAGUUAGCAGAAGGAAAAAUGUGCUUGGGAGCCUAGCAAAAGAAAGGAGAGGGCCACAAAAAAAAAAAAAGAAAAAAAAAGGAAAAGAAAAAAAAGAAAGAAAGAAAAAGAAAAAAAAAAAGUAAAGGUAUGUUUGUAUGGAGGGGACAACCAGGUUAGGAAUUAUGCAAAGAGCGGAGCUUUCUCUGUAAAUAGAGUAUUUUGCCUAUUGCUCUUACAGAGCCUCCUCUCUAAUUGCCAUUGCAAUUUCUAAGGCACCGAGGCACCCCUCAAGCAGUGUGCUGAAGGUGUGUUUGUGCUGCUAUGCCCUCUGGCUUGGCUGCCAGCCUAUUCCCUUAGAUCAGAGCCAGAAGGCAGACUGUUUUCGAAUACCGAUCACCUCACCCGGACCUAAUCCUUUGAGUUCUCUUUGGCAUCUAUUCCUUCUGCCAGCUUCCUCUUCUGUUCCUCUCUUUUCUUCUGAAGUUGACAACAAAGACAUCCUCAGGGCCCUCCUUGAUGUAAGACCACUCUUGAUGUUAUUACAGUGUGUUUUUUUUUUGUACCCUAAAGUUGUGCUACUUUUAUAUUCAGCUAGCACAAUAUUUGCACACCAGAAGAUAAAGAAAAUGUGAAUAUGUUAUACAGAGUGAUAGUUUCUUUUUAAUUUGUACCCUCUCAGUGUUUUUUUUUUUUUUUUUUUGAUGUAAACCCUUUCCUUUCUCUGUCACUCAUCUCCAUACCUGACCAAGAACCUGAAGGUCUCCCUUUAUAGAAGAUGUUACUUCUAUACCGUAAAUUGGCCUAACCUGCCACUUUUAAUUUUAAAAAUAUGGCUGUACGAGAUAUGGAUGAAUAUGGAAUUUCUAUGAAGCACAAAACUUUUGAACGGUUCCUGUCCUCUGUGAUAGUGAGUUUUUAAAGGGAAAUCUCCAAAGAGCUAAUUAGUAGACAAGUAGAGCUCAGCCUGAACAAAGCUGAAAAGAUAGCAGAUAACUAAAAGGACCUGGCCAUAGCUGACAAAAAUCAAAGCCCUGACAGAGAGCUGGCAGUAACCUUGGGCUGCUAACUGACAGGGACAAUAAAAAAAAAACAAAAAACCCUCUGAACCCGGCGGAGAGUGACAGCCCCACUACAGUCUCUCCCGAAGAGCACGAUGUCUCCACCGCGAGGAAGCGGGAGUCUUCCAGCAGGCGAAACGGAGGGCUUUUUGCCGCCCACCUCAACUCCAGGAGAUGCAAGCUGGCUCGGUUCCGACUGCCCCUUAUGGAGGAGUGAGACAGAGAGAGAGAUGGAACCCAGGAGCUUUGCAAAGUUACUCAAAAAGUUCCAGGCUGGCAGUAAACUUGAGAGUGGAGUCGUGGGAAGGGAGAAUGUGGAGCAGGCGAGAUAGAGAAGGAGCCGGGUGGUGGUUCGUGGUCCAGGGGGGAUGCGCAGACCAAGAGCUGAGGGAAAGCGCUGGUUGGAGAAAGCCAACACAGGCAAGGACUUAAUGAGCCCCACGAACCAACAAAAUAUGGUUGGAAAUAAAAGGAAUGAUGCUUGAAAGAAACCUGAGGCAUGCCAGGAAAACAAGAAAGUGGGAAUCAAGAAAAAGAGUAACCGCAGGGGUGAGAGUUGUUCCUUACGAGAAAACAUCAUUUGUAAGGAAGGUGUUGGAGCAGAGAGCUGCAUUUUCAAACUCGUGGAAGGGAGACAAAACACAAAAAUAAUGAUCUUUUAAAACCCCUCUUUAACUCACUAAGAAGAGAGAGUGCUCUGAUAGGUUUAUAUUAGGUUUGGGCGCUAAUGAGCCCAGUCUAAAAUUCCGAGGGUACCAAGAGAAAGGAUUCUUCCUUCAACUGAGUGAUCUUCAGAUUUCUCUGUGUGUUUAUAAGAUUCCAUUAUACAAAUGAUACUAUUUGGGAAAGAAGCCAAGCGCUAACAAAGUGCUCCAACUAUGAGGAGGGAGAAAAUUUGAAAGCAAGCACUUAAAAAGCGUUCGGCUUUGAAACCCAAAUGCUAAUAACAUCCAUUAGGUAGUUUUCAUGAUCCCUAAAUAAGGUCUUUGUUGCAGACAAGUUCUUCUG